UCGAGGAUCUUCGGCAAUGGGCGCAAGCCUGACCGAGCGACGCCGCGUGGGCGAUGAAGGCCUUCGGGUUGUAAAGCCCUGUCGGGAGGGAGAAAAGGGGCAACCCUUGAUCGACCUCCGGAGGAAGCACGGGCUAAGUUCGUGCCAGCAGCCGCGGUAAGACGAACCGUGCGAACGUUAUUCGGAAUCACUGGGCUUAAAGGGCGCGUAGGCGGGCUGCCAAGUCUGGGGUGAAAGCCCACGGCUCAACCGUGGAAGUGCCCCGGAUACUGGCGGCCUCGAGGGAGGUAGGGGCGUGUGGAACUUCCGGUGGAGCGGUGAAAUGCGUAGAGAUCGGAAGGAACGCCGGUGGCGAAAGCGGCACGCUGGACCUCUUCUGACGCUGAGGCGCGAAAGCCAGGGGAGCAAACGGG
rnacentral:rRNA from 1 species